AAUUCCAAAAUCCCUACCAAAUAUACUCAAUGGACAAUUCAAACACACAUAGGAAGUAGAAACAGAACCCAUAGCAGGUGUAUCAAGAAUCAUACUUCUACGCAUAUUAGAUAAUAUGAGAUUCAGCCUCUUAGCACAAUCCAAAGAAAUGAAAGAAUGUGUUGCACCGGUAUCAAUAAUGGCAAUCAAAGGUGUACCAUUAAUAAAGCACGUACCUUGGAU
rnacentral:lncRNA from 1 species